UACAGUGAGAUACUAUCACCUCACACUGGUCAGAAUGGCCAUCAUCAAAAAGUCUACAAAUACUAAAUGAUGGAGAGUGUAUAGAGAAAAGGAACCCUCCUACAGUUUGUGGGAACGUAAAUUGGUACAGCCACUGUGGAGAACAGUAUAACCUCUAGUGUAAUGUAAACAUGAAUUUUAUAUGCUGGGAAACCAAAAAACUUGCGUGCCUAGCUAGCUUUAUUGUGAUAUUUGCUUUAUUUGUGGUGGUCUGGAACUGAACCCACAAUUUUCCGAAGUAUGCCUGUAAUUGCAGUUCACAUUGUAAGGAUUAAAUGAGCUCAAAUAAGGAAACACCUAGCACAUCUAGUACAGUGCACAUAGGAGGUGCUUUUUUGUACCUUUUUCAUUAAAGAGUCCAUAGUCUCCUGAUGGAUGUCUAAACUGAGGCUUCCUGAGGAUCGUGGGCAUAAAGAAAUAAAGAGAAUAGGUGUCGCUGUUGCUGCUCAUGUUGAGUCCACAACAGCAGCCAGACAUGGGGCUGGAGGAUGAGCAAAGGAUGCUGACUGGAUCCGGAGAUCCCAAGGAGAAGGAAGAGGAGGAGGAGGAAUUAGUGGAUCCCCUAACAGCAGCGAGAGAGCAAUGCGGGCAGCUGGAGAAAUGUGUAAAGGCUUGGGAGCUGCUAGAGCUCUGUGAUGAGCAUGUAUCCUCCAGGUCACUGACAGAGGAGGAUUGCGCAGAGGAGGUCUUUGCCUUCUUGCAUGCAAGGGACCACUGCGUGGCCCCCAAACUUUUUAAAGCUUGGAAUAAGUGUGCCGAUUCACUCACCCCAGCCUUCAUCACCUGAGCGUCGGGAUAUUUCCUUAUGGUUUUGAACAUGCCAUUUGUUUCUUAUUUGUAUAACUAAGUUCAUGUGAACCUCAAGGAUUUUGGCUUAGGCAGGUAGCUUCCGUGUAAUUAUCAGUGAUUCCAUCUUAAUAAAGUCCAGUGGUCAGCAAAAAAAAAAAAA